rnacentral:rRNA from 1 species
GAUCAAGCUACAAAGGGCGCACGGUGAAUGCCCUGGCACUAGGAGCCGAUGAAGGACGUGAUAAGCUGCGAUAAGCUACAUGUAGGCGCACACAGCCUGUGAUAUGUAGAUUUCCGAAUGGGAAAACCCAUCUAGUUAUGCUAGAUACUGUAUACCGAAUACAUAGGUAUAUGGAGGUACACCUGGGGAACUGAAACAUCUAAGUACCCAGAGGAAGAGAAAGAAAAUUCGAUUCCCUAAGUAGCGGCGAGCGAAAGGGGAAGAGCCCAAACCAGGAACUUGUUCCUGGGGUUGCGGAUAGAUCAUAACGCUUUGAUUUCUUUAGUUGAAGAGAACUGGAAAGUUCCGUCGUAGAAGGUAAUAACCCUGUAGGCGAAAAGGAAAGAAAAGUAGAUCUACUCCAGAGUACCACGAGACACGUGAAACCUUGGGGGAAGCUGGGAGGACCAUCUCCCAAGGCUAAAUACUACCUAGUGACCGAUAGUGAAGCAGUACCGUGAGGGAAAGGUGAAAAGAACCCCGGAAGGGGAGUGAAAUAGAAUCUGAAACCGUGUGCCUACAAUCGGUCGGAGCACAUUAAAGUGUGACGGCGUACUUUUUGUAGAACGGGCCAGCGAGUUACGAUAUAUAGCAAGGUUAAGCACUUAUGGUGUGGAGCCGAAGGGAAACCGAGUCUGAAUAGGGCAACUAGUUGUAUAUUGUAGACCCGAAACCGAGUGACCUAUCCAUGGCCAGGAUGAAGCGGAAGUAAAAUUCCGUGGAGGUCCGAACCACGUUGGUGUUGAAAAACCAUGGGAUGAGCUGUGGAUAGCGGAGAAAUUCCAAUCGAACUCGGAGAUAGCUGGUUCUCCUCGAAAUAGCUUUAGGGCUAGCGUCGGGUAAUUGAGUAGUGGAGGUAGAGCACUGAAUGGGCUAGGGGCUGACAAUAGUUACUGAACCCUAUCAAACUCCGAAUGCCAUAUACUUGUACCCCGGCAGUCAGACUACGAAUGAUAAGAUCCGUGGGCAAAAGGGAAACAGCCCAGACCAUCAGCUCAGGUCCCAAAGGGGAAGUUAAGUGGGAAAGGAUGUGGGAUUUCUAAGACAACUAGGAUGUUGGCUUAGAAGCAGCCACUCAUUUAAAGAGUGCGUAAUAGCUCACUAGUCGAGAGAUCCUGCGCCGAAGAUGUAACGGGGCUCAAACUUACCACCGAAGCUAUGGAUGUGUACUUUGUACACGUGGUAGAGGAGCUUUCUAUACAGGUUGAAGUCAUACCGUAAGGAGUGGUGGACAGUAC